rnacentral:rRNA from 1 species
UACGGAGGGUGCAAGCGUUGUCCGGAUUUAUUGGGUUUAAAGGGUGCGUAGGCGGCCCGUUAAGUCCGGGGUGAAAGCCCACAGCUCAACUGUUGAACUGCCAUGGAUACUGUUAGGCUUGAGUACAGACGAGGUAGGCGGAAUGGAUAGUGUAGCGGUGAAAUGCAUAGAUACUAUCCAGAACACCGAUUGCGUAGGCAGCUUACUAGGCUGUAACUGACGCUGAGGCACGAAAGCGUGGGGAGCGAACAGG